AAAAAUCUCCUUGGCUGCUAUAAAACAGCCUCUCCAGUCUGCCUAAUUGCCUUAUCUGGUCUCUGUCACUCUCUUCAGCUCCUCAAAACCUCGGCUCCAGGAAGAUGGGACUGUUUUGUCCCUCAGCUGUACCCACACACAUGUCCUCCAAACCUCUGCUCAGACAGUACCUCCGCCCAAGAUGCCUUUCUUCCUCCUGCCGGAGUCCCUCACUUUCAUGGAGUCGUUCCUGUCUGCUCACACAGAUGGAUGCUUCUGUGUGACAAGGAGCCACUGCGGCAAAUCCCACAGGAAUCCCAGAGUGACUCUCACUGAACGAUUUGGGAGAAAAUCACGGAAAAUGGGAAAGAAGAACGUGAGCAGCUGACCGUAUGGCACACGUCCACACUCGGGGCAGGCGCAGCAGUGCCCUCUGAUUCUCUCAUUUCAUUCUUCCUACAACCGUGCGAGCUACAAUCGGGUGAGAAAUUUGGUGAAGAAUUUAGGGAUUAAAUAACUUGCUAAAGGCCAUAUAGCUAAAAACCAGCAGAGAUGGGUUCAAACGCAGACAUGUCUGACUCUGAAACGCUGGCUUCGGUCACCAUAAGGAAUUAGGCAAUUCUAACACUGACGCUGACACCAGAGCAAAGGCCCAUUGAAACCGUAAGAAGAACAUUGUAAGUAACUAACAACAAGGUACAAGCAGAUGUGAUUUAUGAUGUGCAGCCACAGAUUUGAGAAGCUAUUCCUAUUAAUAUCUUAUUUGUCGUGAGUGUAAAACUUACGUGAGUAGAAGCACAUUAUUAUAUUUAUUGUCACACAGAGCACGAUGCAGGGUUUAGCGUGUAUGAAUCUGAUUACUCUAUGAGGCUGUGCCUGUCAUUGGUGGUGGCUGGUCAGCAGUCUGAACAAACCAUGUGCUGAAAAUGGGGAGAGAGAGGAGGGAGACAGAGAGGAGAGAGAGAGGCGGGUGCUUGUAAUGCACGGGGUGCAGGUCUAGCCUUCCCUUCAUCCCCGGGAUCUCUUCAGGGAAGUGGAAUGGGGAAGUGGGAAUGAAAGUCUUCAAGAGCCCACCAGGUAGGGAACGAGAGGAGUAAAAGGCACAGAGCAUCACUGUCCUGCGUGGAAAGCCACACUCUGCCAUGGGAAUAGCUUCUCCUCUGCGGAUAUUUUGAGAGUUUGCAUUCUUUUCUAAUUCACGGUAGUAAAUACGGCUCCCUCUUGACUUUCCCUCACGUUGUCUCCCAUUCGUAAUCCCUUCUGCCACGUCACAUGUGCCUUCUCUUCCUUAUCUCCAUGUCCGAACCCCUCGGGAACUGUCAUUUGUGAGUCCUUGGUUAAUUGUCCUUUAAUGUCUUUGUUUUUAUAUCUUUCUCCUAUUUUAGAGGAAUAGAACAUAAGAUAAUAUAUACAUAAUAUAUAUAAAAGUACAUGCACACACACGUUGCACUGUAUGUGAAUAGGUAACAUAUAAAAUUACAUGCACACACAUGUUGCACUGUAUGUGAAUAGGUAACAUAUAUAAAAUUACAUGCGCACACAUGUUGCACUGUAUGUGAUAGGUAACAUAUAUAAAAUUACAUGCGCACACAUGUUGCACUGUAUGUGAUAGGUAAUAUAUAUAAAAUUACAUGCACACAUGUUGCACUGUGUGUGAAUAGGUAACAUAUAUAAAAUUACAUGCACACACAUGUUGCACUGUAUGUGAAUAGGUAACAUAUAUAAAAUAACAUGCACACACAUGUUGCACUGUGUGUGAAUAGGUAACAUAUAAAAUUACAUGCACACACAUGUUGCACUGUAUGUGAUAGGUAAUAUAUAUAAAAUUACAUGCACACAUGUUGCACUGUGUGUGAAUAGGUAACAUAUAAAAUUACAUGUGCACACAUGUUGAACUGUAUGUGAAUAGGUAACAUAUAUAAAAUUACAUGUGGACACAUGUUGCACUGUGUGUGAAUAGGUAACAUAUAAAAUUACAUGCAUACACAUGUUGCAGUGUAUAUGAAUAGGUAACAUAUAUAAAAUUACAUGCGCACACAUGUUGCACUGUGUGUGAAUAGGUAACAUAUAAAAUUACAUGCACAUACGUUACACCGUAUGUGAAUAUGUAACAUAUAUAAAAUUACAUGCGCACACAUGUUGCACCGUAUGUGAAUAGGUAACAUAUAUAAAAUUACAUGUGGACACAUGUUGCACUGUGUGUGAAUAGGUAUCAUAUAAAAUUACAUGCAUACACAUGUUACACUGUAUGUGAAUAGGUAACAUAUAUAAAAUUGCAUGCGCACACAUGUUACACUGUAUGUGAAUAGGUAACAUAUAAAAUUACAUGAGCACACAUGUUGCACUGUGUGUGAAUAGGUAACAUAUAAAAUUACAUGCACACACAUGUUGCACUGUCUGUGAUAGGUAACAUAUAUAAAAUUACAUGCACACAUGUUGAACUGUGUGUGAUAGGUAACAUACAUACAUUACAUGCACACACAUGUUGCACUGUGUGUGAAUAGGUAACAUAUAAAAUUACAUGCACACACGUUACACUGUAUGUGAAUAGGUAACAUAUAUAAAAUUACAUGUGCACACAUGUUGCACUGUAUGUGAUAGAUAACAUAUAUAAAAUUACAUGCGCACACAUGUUGCACUGUAUGUGAUAGGUAACAUAUAUAAAAUUACAUGCACACAUGUUGCACUGUGUGUGAUAGGUAACAUAUAUAAAAUUACAUGCGCACACAUGUUGCACUGUAUGUGAUAGGUAACAUAUAUAAAAUUACAUACACACAUGUUGCACUGUGUGUGAAUAGGUAAUAUAUAAAAUUACAUGCGCACACAUGUUGCACUGUAUGUGAUAGGUAACAUAUAUAAAAUUACAUGCACACAUGUUGCACUGUGUGUGAUAGGUAACAUAUAUAAAAUUACAUGCGCACACAUGUUGCACUGUAUGUGAUAGGUAACAUAUAUAAAAUUACAUGCACACAUGUUGCACUGUAUGUGAAUAGGUAACAUAUAUAAAAUUACAUGCGCACACAUGUUGCACUGUAUGUGAAUAGGUAACAUAUAUAAAAUUACAUGCACACACAUGUUGCACUGUAUGUGAAUAGGUAACAUAUAUAAAAUUACAUGCACACACAUGUUGCACUGUAUGUUAAUAGGUAACAUAUAUAAAAUUACAUGCACAUACAUGUUGCACUGUAUGUGAAUAGGUAACAUAUAUACAAUUACAUGCACACACAUGUUGCACUGUAUGUGAAUAGGUAACAUAUAUACAAUUACACGCACACAGGUUGCACUGUAUGUGAUAGGUAACAUAUAUAAAAUUACAUGUGGACACGUGUUGCACUGUAUGUGAUAGGUAACAUAAAAUUACAUGCACACAUGUUGCACUGUAUGUGAUAGGUAACAUAUAUAAAAUUACAUGCGCACACAUGUUUCACUGUAUGUGAUAGGUAACAUAUAUAAAAUUACAUGCACACAUGUUGCACUGUGUGUGAUAGGUAACAUAUAUAAAAUUACAUGAGCACACAUGUUGCACUGUAUGUGAUAGGUAACAUAUAUUAAAUUACAUGCACACAUGUUGCACUGUAUGUGAUAGGUAACAUAAAAUUACAUGCACACAUGUUGCACUGUAUGUGAUAGGUAACAUAUAUAAAAUUACAUGCGCACACAUGUUGCACUGUGUGUGAGAAGCACUUCGACUCUGCAGUUGAAGGUACUUUAUGAAGUCACAGAAGCUUCUCAGUUUGGCUUUGCUGUUUCUCAGAUGACCUACUUUUCCGAUCCUUUCUCAGCACUAGCGCUGGAAUGUUUUUCCAAGGAUUUUUGAUUGUUACUAAAAAACUAUUACACUCCUCUUCUGCUUUAGUAAACAGAUGACAAUCCAAACUUUUCUUACUAUUUCGAGUCCACAAUCACAACUGCUGCUCCUAUGCUCUAAAUGCGGGGUUUUGGCUGAUUCUACCAUGUUGUUCCCUUAAAUAACUUCUGGAUUAAUUUUUUUUCAUUGGCUUUUUUCCUCACACAUGUACAAUUAGAGUGAGCAGC
ensembl:lncRNA